ensembl:lncRNA
GUGUGCCCUUGCUCUGCAGAAGGUUUAGGGGGCAGGGUGGAGACCUGAUUAGAAAAUGAAAUGCUGAGCACCUGUGAGAACUCAGCACGUGGAACAAAGCUUCAGCCCGGGCUGCAGCUGGGGUCUGCAGCACCCACGCCCACAGGGAGUGGGAGAAUCUCUCUGAGCAAGGGGACAGCGUUUAGCUGCAGGGUGCAACACCAGGAGCCAGGAGAGUUCCUCCCCCGACCAGCCGGUCUGCAGUUGGGAUAAAUUCAGCACAGGAGGAAAAGGCAGCACAUCCUCCCCCCAUCUCCUCCCAUUUUAGGUGAGAGGAGGAGGUGGCAUGGGGGAUAGAGAAAGAUCUGGCGAGCUCACCAGCUGGUGCUGCAGGGCUGAGCGGCGCGAGUGUGCUGUGCGCCCCCACACAGAGGGGCCCAGGCAGGAAGGAGAAGUGCCCCCUCUCUUUUAUCCCCUCUCCUUGGAAAUCAAGACAGUCUCAGGAUGGAGGGAGGCUGUGUUCCCUCCCUGUUGUUUGACCUGAGACCAAACUAUGGUGGAGGUAAUGAAGUUAAUGGCAGCCUCCUUCAAAAGGUCCCAUGCAUGCAUUGCUACACUCAGCGUCCCCAGCCCUGCAGCAGGCCACCGCCAACCCACGCCUCUGCCAGAGACUCCUGGACACUCACGGGCAAGUCUGGG